rnacentral:rRNA from 1 species
UACGAAGGGGGCUAGCGUUGCUCGGAAUCACUGGGCGUAAAGGGUGCGUAGGCGGGCCCGUCAGUCAGGGGUGAAAUCCCACGGCCCAACCGUGGAAGUGCCUCUGAUACUGCGGGCCUGGAGGGGGAGUAGGGGGCGUGCGGAACUUCCGGUGGAGCGGUGAAAUGCGCGAGAUAUCAGGAGGAACACCGGUGGCGAAGGCGGGUCUCUGGGCCGAUGACUGACGCUGAGGAGCGAAAGCGUGGGGAGCGAACAGG